GGUGUUUGAAAUACAUAUAUACUUUGUGUUUUUUCUAGGAAGAUUUGAAACUUCUGGCUUAAUCUGACAUUUUGCUGUGGUGGUGAUCCAACCUUUAAUUGUUAAAAUCAUCUGAUCCUUAAACGGUUAAUUCUUAAUCAUUAGAGUCCCAUCAUCAGGGAGUCUCUGUCCGCAUGGCCUGGAGUAUUUCAGGGCACACAUGGCCGGGGCUCGAGACAGGCUGGUGAAUGGAAGAAUAGGUGGCUCUCCAGUUGUCCCAGCACCAUUUGUUGAAAGACUACUCUUUCCCUAUUGAAUGGUCACAGCACCCUUGUUGGAAAUCAGUUGACCAUAGAUAUGGAGUCUGGCUCUGUCACGCAGGCUGGAGUGCAGUGGAGUGAUCUUGGCUCACCACAGCUUCUGCCUUCCAGGUUCAAGCGAUUCUCCUCCCUCGGCCUCCCAAGUAGAUGGGAUUACAGGGCUCCUGGGACCGGGCGAUGGGUGACCACGCCAGGAAGCACCUUGACUUGGGUACUUCGCAGAAUCUUCCUCCCAGGGCGCCUCGACUUGCCGCCGUGUGGCGGCUUUGACUCCCAGCCCAGUAACAAACACGUCCAUGAUGCUGUGAACCGACAGAGACUGCAGAGCUGGUCAGCACUGUGUUACUGGAGCCAGAGGGGGAAGAUCCCUGAAUAAGCCACCUGGGGCUGCCAUGGGAGGUGACCACAUGUGGGGGGACAGGACAGAAACCGGGCUUCUCCUGGAACAUUGGCUCCAAGGCUCAGCAGCCUCCUCACAUCCCCUGGGUCCACACCUCGGACCCAUCUGCCCACCCGGCCAGCCUGCCUCGUCUUCCCCCGUGGGCUCGUGCCUCAACAGGCAGCGUGUGGAUGCCACCGUCACCGUCACGGGGGAGGCAGGUCCACCCUGGAGCUGAUCCCCUGGCCCACCUGCCGGCCACCAUAGUGGACCCCAGUGCCCAGCCCAGGUCCCCCACGCCGGCUUCUCUCAGCCCAGGUCACUCUCUUCACACUGUCAUCUGCCAGUCACCUGCACACUCUGAUUCCCGAGGCGACUCUGCUCCGGGGACACGCCCUCAGCAAGGCCUGGCUGAGCGCCGUGUGUGCCUGUGGAUCCAUGUGCAGCUCUCCGGGGGACACCGGCCCUGGCUCCACUCCCUGGACAGAUCUGUGCCCAGCGCUGGGUCUACUCCCUGCACAGACCCACACCUGGUCUGGUCCUGGCUCCACUCCCUGGACACACCUGCCCCUGGUGCUGGCCUGGGUGGGAUGGGGAAAUGAAAACACAGAGAGGAGAAGGCACUUGCCUGAGGUACCCUGCCAGACGCUGGGGACAGGCUCACACCCAGGGGCCCAAAGCCCGCUGCCUCUCGGAGCAGCAGGGGUUUGGGACAGAAAUUGAGGCACAGGGCCUUGGACGUGCCCAUGGAGCUGCUCAGCCAGUGGGGGGUUAGCCAGCAUUUUACAGGCAAAGCUGCGGAGCUGUGCUGGUGCUUCUGUAACACAAAUUCAGAUCUGGAAGCAAAGGGCAGAUGCCGUGCAGAGCGUCAGAAAGCACUGCAGACCUCAGACCGGGGGAAGCUGGUUUUUAAACCAUCUUCCUGCAAGCCUUUUCAGGAGGACCAAAAUUAGACCAGGCGGUUGAAGGAAGCCUGGCUCUCUCUCUGCCACUUCUGAGGUCCUGGCCUUGCCUCGCUGCCACCCCCCGAUGGCUGCUGUCCGCAACUCAGAGCUUGUGCUACUGCUUGGAC